CGGGGGGGGGGGUGGAAGCAGGAGCUACAGCCCGCCACCCCCGAUACAUUGUUACAGUCAGAGGGGGAGAGGGAAGCUAAAAGUAUCCACUUCUGAGUUACAGUAACUCUCCGGGACGGUCGAAUUGUCUUUGCAAAAAAAAAAGCUGUGCCUGGAAUGUGUCCUGCCUGGAAACAAACUCCCAGCUCUGAUGCCAGUUGGAACAGGGAAGCUCGGAAUAUAGUCAUCUGGAACUUU